CAGUAGCCACGGGAAUACGUAGGUGGUAAGCGUUGUCCGGAAUUAUUGGGCGUAAAGGGCUCGCAGGCGGUUUCUUAAGUCUGAUGUGAAAGCCCCCGGCUCAACCGGGGAGGGUCAUUGGAAACUGGGAAACUUGAGUGCAGAAGAGGAGAGUGGAAUUCCACGUGUAGCGGUGAAAUGCGUAGAGAUGUGGAGGAACACCAGUGGCGAAGGCGACUCUCUGGUCUGUAACUGACGCUGAGGAGCGAAAGCGUGGGGAGCGAACAGGAUUAGAUACCCCUGUAGUCCCUGUCUCUUAUAA
rnacentral:rRNA from 1 species